rnacentral:rRNA from 1 species
UACGUAGGGUGCGAGCGUUAAUCGGGAUUACUGGGCGUAAAGCGUGCGCAGGCGGUUUUGUAAGCCAGAUGUGAAAGCCCCGGGCUUAACCUGGGAAUGGCAUUUGGGACUGCAAGGCUGGAGUGUGGCAGAGGAGACUGGAAUUCCUGGUGUAGCAGUGAAAUGCGUAGAUAUCAGGAGGAAUACCGAUGGCGAAGGCAGGUCUCUGGGCUGACACUGACGCUCAUGCACGAAAGCGUGGGGAGCAAACAGG